CCUACGGGGGGCAGCAGUGGGGAAUAUUGGACAAUGGGGGGAACCCUGAUCCAGCCAUGCCGCGUGUGUGAAGAAGGCCCUCGGGUUGUAAAGCACUUUCAGUGAGGAAGAACGCCUGGUGGUUAAUACCCAUCAGGAAAGACAUCACUCACAGAAGAAGCACCGGCUAACUCCGUGCCAGCAGCCGCGGUAAUACGGAGGGUGCGAGCGUUAAUCGGAAUUACUGGGCGUAAAGCGCGCGUAGGUGGCUUGAUAAGCCGGUUGUGAAAGCCCCGGGCUCAACCUGGGAACGGCAUCCGGAACUGUCAAGCUAGAGUGCGGGAGAGGAAGGUAGAAUUCCCGGUGUAGCGGUGAAAUGCGUAGAGAUCGGGAGGAAUACCAGUGGCGAAGGCGGCCUUCUGGACUGACACUGACGCUGAGGUGCGAAAGCGUGGGUAGCAAACAGGAUUAGAUACCCUGGUAGUC
rnacentral:rRNA from 1 species